rnacentral:lncRNA from 1 species
UUAUCUACUUUGCAAAGAAACUUCUUGAUAGAACAUGUUGCCUUCAUGCCUCUUUUCAUAUCAUCAAUGACUGAAUGAUCAUAAUUUCCUUGAUCCUCAUAAUUGAAUGUUGUGUGUCACUGGACUCACACCCUGGCCAACACAGCAACAACAUCAUCAGGUCAUUAGAAGCAAGAAACAAUGUCGGUAUACAACAAAGCAUAGCAGCAUAUUACAAGAUACAAGCGCAAAGCUGCAGCAUGCCAUCAGUGGCAAGCACCCAGCGACAUCAAGCACCCACACAAGACACACACACACACACACACACGCAGCAAGCAGGGCGAGAGGAGCGGAGAAUAGAUACCUUGCCGGUGACAGGAUUCCUGGCAGCUGCGGCAAAGAUGACUCGUGGUGGUGAUGGAGGUGAGUCGAGACGGCGACCAGGGCGAC